ACACCAGCCGAGCUCUUCGAGCUCUCUCUCUCUUUCUCAGUUUCUCUCUCCAUCCAUGUCCGGCCGUCACCGCCUCCGGCCGAUCUCCUCCUCUAUAGCUCCCCUUCUAGUUUCUUUGCACCACUAGCUUCGCCUCACUCCGGUGAUUCCAUUUUUUCACUUUCCCCUCCCCUUCUACCCCAAACAAGCCAUCACCAAAACUCUCUCUCUCUUGCCAGUUCACACUAUUAUACUCGCCGUUCCGGCCAUCCUCCUCUCUGUCUCUUCCUUCCUGCACCCUCCCUAGGUGCGCCGCAUCCGGGAACACCAUCUCCCGCCGACUUAUCCACCUCCCAGCCACCGGAGCACCGCCGCCUUGCUCGCCCUCUCCUCUCUCUUCUCUCGGCUCCCACCGAGACAGAGGAAGAAGACGACGAGAAGAAGAGGAGGCAAAAAGAGACAGUGUCAAUCCAUACAACAAGUUCGACUAUCGAAUCCAAGGAGCUGACGUGGACCGAGAUGGCUACGCUGAAGCCACGGGAAAUCUUAAGGCGCAAGGAGCAGGAUUGGGGUGAACACAUGCGUAAGGAGGUGGAACUCGUGAAAGCAGCGACCAUGUAGCCUUGCUUAGGCCCAGCAAGUGCCCGACUGCUAGGAUGGAUCAAUAUCCCACUCGUGCAGUUGUUAACGACCAAAUUUGGUAAUAUCAGCAUCGGAAGUGAAGAUGAGAUCGAAGUGGAAUCAGAGAUAAGGAUUUCUGUGGGAACAGAGUAAGAAUCGGCUGGAGUCCGGAUCGGCUACGACCAGAAUCGGCUAAAUCCGAAUCAGACUAGGUUAGAUGAUACAGCCGAUUCCGAUAAUACAACUUGGUGUACAACAUCGGGUUGAGUUGAUAUGCUUCAAGAUGAUUGCCGCACGUGGAUAGAGUCCUGAGAGGGCAAUUGUAUCCAUUAAUUAGGAUGUUUUAUGUAAUUUCCUUAGAGAUAUGUUUAGGGCAAAAGUCUGUCGCAAAGACUUAUGGUAUUUUAGAGUUUGUUAGGGAUAAUAGUCGUGUCCGGUAUGGACAUAUCUUGUAACUCUCGGGUAUAAAUAGACCCCGGGUCCUAUGUAAUUUUUAACACAC
rnacentral:sRNA from 1 species